UGGGCAGAACUGGCCUGGUAGGAAACGAAGAGGUGGGGUUUUCGCCGCUCCUUUUCCCCGGGGGAGCUGUGUGAGGUGCUCGGCUCCGGCCUUCUACCACAGGCAGCGCUAUCUUUUUGUUUCCUGCCCUGCUGUUGUUGCAGACUCUGCGCAGCUCCACCGGGAGAUAGUGCGGGACUUGCAUCCAGUUCGAUGCCAGGCUCCUCCUGCGUGAUCGGAUGUGGGCUGGAGACACGAAAAGAGGAGCCGCCCUUCUCGCAGCAUUGCUUUCCGCAGCCACUUUGGCUGCUCUUAAUACUCACAUACUUGAUUGAGCGCCUAAUGAUGUGCCGUGACAUGCCAGGCAAAUUUGAGUCCUGAAAGAGCAGAAUACAUAAUUCACUGGGGCUUCAACACAAAUUAGUAAGUAAACAAAAAUUAGAUAGUAAAUCGCUAUCUUGAAAGAACUGGUUAAAAAAAAGGAGAGAUUACAAAAGCUACCGUGUUAAUAUUUAUGGCUAUUCCACUGAAUGAAUAUAUUUAUUACAAAUAUAAAAAUUAUAGAAAUAUUGGAAAUAUAUGAGGCAAUAUGACAAAACAAUAAUAAAGAGAAAUGCAAUAAAGAAUAACAAGAUAAGAGGAAAAGAUAAGAAAUUAAUAACAACAAAACCAGCCCCGUGGAAAAACAGCAUUAGAAAGUAAAGAUGAGCAUGCCCCUAAAGAAGCACAAGAGAUUUCUUACUGGGAAAAUUAGAAAAUGGAAAGGAGAGAGCUCUUACACUAAGAGGUCAGAGCCACUGACCCUCAGAUCCCAGUGUGACUGUUAGAGCUGCAUGUGCAUGGGUGUGAAGUGUUAAGAGUAAAUAUAUGUUUCUAUUCACAUGAAGACCCUCAAUUGGGUACAUUCUUAUUAUGUUUUGAAAACUAAUUAAAGAGAAGGGACUUCCCCUUAAGAAAUGAAAUUCGUAAGUAUGUCAGGAUGAAGAGGAGAAAGGCUGGCAUAUUGGGAACACAGAUAGGUACCAUGCCCAAGAUGAGAGACCAUCCCAAAUUUCCCUAAAUUUCUAAUGCCAAUGACUACAUUUAUCCCCUACAGACUUCAAUUUUUAAUAAAAAUAUGUCUAUCUUA